rnacentral:tRNA from 1 species
GGGCACAGUGGCAUAGUGGUUAGCACUGUUGCCUCGCAAGAAGGAGGUUCUGGGUUCGAAUCCGGGUCCGACCG